UGGGGAAUAUUGCACAAUGGGCGAAAGCCUGAUGCAGCAACGCCGCGUGAAGGAAGAAGGUCUUCGGAUUGUAAACUUCUAUCAGUAGGGAAGAAUAAAUGACGGUACCUAACUAAGAAGCUCCGGCUAACUACGUGCCAGCAGCCGCGGUAAUACGUAGGGAGCAAGCGUUAUCCGGAUUUACUGGGUGUAAAGGGUGCGUAGGCGGCUUGGUAAGUCAAAAGUGAAAUUUCGGGGCUCAACCCCGGAGCUGCUUUUGAAACUGCCGAGCUAGAGUGUGGGAGAGGAAAGCGGAACUUUGAGUGUAGCGGUGAAAUGCGUAGAGAUUCAAAGGAACACCAGUAGCGAAGGCGGCUUUCUGGACCAUUACUGACGCUGAGGCACGAAAGCGUGGGGAGCA
rnacentral:rRNA from 1 species